rnacentral:rRNA from 1 species
UACGGGGGGGGCAAGCGUUGUUCGGAAUUACUGGGCGUAAAGGGCUCGUAGGCGGCCAACUAAGUCGGACGUGAAAUCCCUCGGCUUAACCGGGGAACUGCGUCCGAUACUGGAUGGCUUGAGUUCGGGAGAGGGAUGCGGAAUUCCAGGUGUAGCGGUGAAAUGCGUAGAUAUCGUAAGGAAGACCAGUGGCGAAGGCGGGUCUCUGGACAGUUCCUGACGCUGAGGCACGAAGGUCAGGGGAGCAAACGGG